GGGCUUUCAAAGUCUUCAAUCCCUUCCACCUUGAUGGAAGAAGGGCUAAGAAGAGUUCUAGGAGACAACUCCAUGGUUUUGCUCACAGGGCUGGCACUGGCCUUUUCCUCCAGCUUCCUCUUCAGGGUGUUCAUCGUGGAGGUGGGAGUUGAAGGAGAAGUGGCCGAGCUCGCUGGAAUCUGAGGACCCUGACGCUGCCUUGUCAACGCCCUCAACCUGCCUCUACCCCCACUUCAGAAUGAUUUUCAACCGUGCAGUUGCUCAGCAGUGUGGAUGAACGAGCGCGGAGGCUGAGACCGCCCGACUCAUCCACUCCCUGGAAAGCAAACCCGGUGGUGUAACCGAGGGCAGCAUUAGCGUCCUCACAGGACCGGACUCCACCCUCGUCCUUCAAGGCUGAACGCAUGAUGAAUGGUGACGAGGUGGCAGAGGUGAGAAUUCCCGUCUCAGAAGCCACUAUUCUUUCCCCCUGCAUGGAGAGGGGGACUUCUAUUACCUUUUUUUUUUUUUUUUCAUACUCUCAAAUUGCUCUGCAAUUCUAAAGCUUCCUUUGUGAGCUCAAGCUAAGGAGCUGUUCUAAAGUGUUUUAAAAAAUAAAAUCAGCACUUGCUCACUCAUUCCUCUUUCUCUGGAGUAACACAACAGCUCUGCUAUGAUAUGAAAUACUGCAUCCACUGGUGUAAAAACUUCCGGGGCUCAUCUCCCUUCUGUUUGGGGCAGUCUGCAUUUUUAUUAGAUCAGAUCUGUCUAGAAGUGGACAUUAGCCACCUGCAG